rnacentral:rRNA from 1 species
UACGGAAGGCAGCAGUGGGGAAUAUUGCACAAUGGGCGAAAGCCUGAUGCAGCCAUGCCGCGUGUAUGAAGAAGGCCUUCGGGUUGUAAAGUACUUUCAGUCGUGAGGAAGGUGUUAAGGUUAAUAACCUUAGCAAUUGACGUUAGCGACAGAAGAAGCACCGGCUAACUCCGUGCCAGCAGCCGCGGUAAUACGGAGGGUGCGAGCGUUAAUCGGAAUUACUGGGCGUAAAGGGCACGCAGGCGGUUAAUUAAGUUGGAUGUGAAAUCCCCGGGCUUAACCUGGGAAUGGCAUUCAAGACUGGUUAGCUAGAGUCUUGUAGAGGGGGUAGAAUUCCAUGUGUAGCGGUGAAAUGCGUAGAGAUGUGGAGGAAUACCGGUGGCGAAGGCGGCCCCUGGACAAAGACUGACGCUCAUGUGCGAAAGCGUGGGGAGCAAACAGGGAUUAGAUACC